UACGUAGGGUGCGAGCGUUGUCCGGAAUUAUUGGGCGUAAAGGGCUCGUAGGCGGUUUGUCGCGUCGGGAGUGAAAACACUGGGCUUAACUCAGUGCUUGCUUCCGAUACGGGCAGACUAGAGGUAUGCAGGGGAGAACGGAAUUCCUGGUGUAGCGGUGAAAUGCGCAGAUAUCAGGAGGAACACCGGUGGCGAAGGCGGUUCUCUGGGCAUUACCUGACGUGAGGAGCGAAAGUGUGGGGAGCGAACAGG
rnacentral:rRNA from 1 species